rnacentral:lncRNA from 1 species
UUUGAGUCCUCUUCUGUCACCUGUCGCCCUGGGAGUCCCAGAGAGGCAUUAACAUAGGCUUGGGUUUUGCAGGACACUGAUGGAAGGUGGGCACGGAAUAGCAUUGUUCCCUGCCAGCAUCAAGAAGCAGCCACUAAACAGAGGGAAGCACAAACGCUGGUGACCAGGGCGAGGUCUGGAGCUAAUAACACACUGUAAAUAGCAGCCCGCCCCCCAGGAUGCUAUUUUCUGUUCCCAGGAAAAUGGUGCUUGGCUCCCGUUAAUUCCACUCCCCUGGUUUGCAAUAAAGGAGACGCUGGCUUACAAACUAAGGAGGGAAAGGGGGACCAUCGGGGCUUACCAAGCCGAACUGCCACUCCAGGGGUGAGUCCCUCCAAGGGCCGCCUCCCAUCUUGAUCCAUAGCCCCCCCAGGGGGGCCCCACCAUGUCAUUGAGGCUGCUUCUCCUGCACCCAGCACAGUGCCUGGCCUGGAGGAAGCACUUGGCACACACUUCUGAGGGAAGAAGUGUCCCCUUGUCGGCCGAGGCAGCUCAGAUCCCACCAGGCCCUGCAGAGCCACCCGAGAGCCUCUCCAUCCUUCUCCCUCUCUGCGCCUUGGGCAGGGGCAGGCCACGGGGGCAAACGGUGCUCUCCAUCCUUCUCCUGCUCAAAAACAGCCACUCUGCUCUCCUCAGGCUGGCCAGACGUUCCCACCACAGCCCUGCUCGUGAUAAUAUAUCCCAUACAUUGUGCAUAGUACACAGUACACUAGUUUUAACAUAAGAUUCAAUUUUAUACGUUAUACAGUCAUACAUUAACUUAUAUAGUAUAUAAAAGUUCAAUAUUUAAUAUAUAUUUAAUAAUAAAUAAUGUUACUAGACAAUAUAUUAAUACAGUAUACACUAUAUGUAAAUAUAGCAAUAUAUUUUACAUAAUAAAUUAACAUAAGUAGCAUGGUAUGUAUAAUAUGUUAAUAUAUUACACAUAAUAUAUUAUAUAAUAAUGUGUUCUAAUCUAAU